rnacentral:rRNA from 1 species
GACAGAGGGUGCAAACGUUGCUCGGAAUUACUGGGCGUAAAGCGCGUGUAGGCGGACUGGUGUGUCGGAUGUGAAAUCCCCAGGCUCAACCUGGGAACUGCAUUCGAAACUGCCAGCCUUGAGUGGUGGAGAGGGAAGUGGAAUUCCUGGUGUAGAGGUGAAAUUCGUAGAUAUCAGGAGGAACACCAGUGGCGAAGGCGGCUUCCUGGACAACAACUGACGCUGAGACGCGAAAGCGUGGGGAGCAAACAGG